ACCUAGUAUUUUAAAAAGAAAACCAAAACUUUGUCUAUACCUAGUAUUUUAAAAAGAAAACCAAAACUUUGGCCACGUGUCUAUCCCAUUGCUCUCCCAUCCGUAUAAUUGUAAAAAUUGAAGGAAAAAAAACAUAAAAUACCCACCAUCACUCCACACCAGAGCACCGUCCAACUUCCCCAUUCUACUCCAUGCCAAACCCUUCUUCAUUUACCCUCCUUCAAUUUCAUGAGCAGUUACAACAUAUAAAUAUCUCAUCUAAUUCUUUUAUGAAUCUUUAAUUCUUGAAUCUUUAAUUGUACAAACUCUUCAAUUGAAGUAAAUUGUAAUACACUUCAAUUGGACCUCUAAAUACAUCAUCUUUAUGGAAUUCCACCUUCAAUUUGAUCCACCAUUUUCUCCCCAUCUCCUUUAAGAGCCUCCAUUUAUAAAUCAAUUCCUCCCGGAACCAUUAAUAAUUGAUUAAAUAAUGUCGGUUACACUUCGUGAUCACAAACGAUCGCUUAUAUUUGGCUCUCAUCUCUAAAUCCAAUCCUAACUCUAUUUAACACAGUAGAUACGACAACAGUAAUGCUAUGAAUGAGAGCUAGACCGAUCGAGACAGGGAUUAGGGACUGAGAAGCACAAUAGAGAAGAGGCUGUAGGGAAAGAAGGAAGAACUAAUAAUAUGUUUUUAAAAGGUUUUGUUUUCAGUUUUAGGAUUAAAUUUAUGUAUUAUUGUAUUUUAUUGUUUUUGAAUAAUGAUUUUGUGAUUAGAAUAAUAAUUUGCUAAUAAUCUUGCCACUCAUCUGCAAUGUGUACUUCGGAAAAACAAAAUACAUAUAUGUAAAUCAAUUUGGGUGUUUAAGCUUUAGAGGAUCAACUGAUAUUGUUGCAGGAAAAAUUUGAUAUAGCGUUUGGGAGACAUAAAACACGAGCAAACUUCUUAAAGAUACAACCUCAGGAUAUAAUGGUGUGAAUUUCUCGCGUCGUCAAUUCACUUAUAAUGUUAGCAUUCAGAAAUAAACAAAAUUAGCAGUUUGAUCAUACUUAUUCACCGUCAAGUAUCUUAUGGUAAUCAAACUCCUCAAUGUUAGCAUAAAGGCCUAAGGAUGGGGAAAAUAAAUUAUCUUCAUCUUUCUAUUGUAAUGUUAGGAGUUGAAUACGGAGUACGCUGUAGCAAGCUUUUGUAAAUGGGUUGUCUUCACAAUUCACCAGUUAUGUUAACCCAAUUCUUGCAUAGUCUAUUGGUAAUUUGGUACUAUUACUUUUUGCCU